AUGGUUGGACAAGGGAAUUUCUGUCUCUAUAAUAAUUUUAAAAUUUGACUUUUAAGUGAAAAGGCUUAAAUGAUUUAGGGGGACGAUAAGACCCUAUAAAGCUUUACAUUUAAUUAAUUUAAAUUGAAUUAUAAGUAAAAUGAUAUAAAUUAAUAUUAUGUUGUGUUGGGGCGACAAGAGUAUAAAUAAAUUUAACUGCUUUUUGGUAAUACAUUUAUAUAUGUUUAUGGUGGGUUAAUGAUCCUCUUUAGGGAUUUAAAGAUUAAGUUACUUUAGGGAUAACAGCGUUAUUUUCUUUGAGAGUUCUUAUCGAAAAGAGAGUUUGCGACCUCGAUGUUGAAUUAAAAUUUCUAUAUAGUGCAGCAGCUGUAAUAGAAGGUCUGUUCGACCUUUAAAUUUUUACGUGAUCUGAGUUCAGACCGGA
rnacentral:rRNA from 1 species